CAAAAUAAUACCAUUUGCAGCAACAUGGAUGAAACUAGAGAUUCUCAUACUAAGUGAAGAGGACAUCUGGAAAAAUCCUGAAGUACUUGGAAAUUGUACAACAUACUUUAAAUCUAUGGGUCAAAAAAGAAGUCUCAAGGAAAUGAGAAGAUAUUUUAAGUGGAGUAAAAUGAAAAUCAGUGUACCAAAAUUUAUGAGAUGCAGCAAAAGUUGUGCUUACAGGGAAUUUUGUAGCAUCACCUGCUUGUAUUAGACAAUAAGAAAGGACUCAACAAUGUAAACUUUCACCUUAAUAAAUUUUUAAAGAAAGAACAAAA